AACAAAUCUAUAUUCUAGCAUGAUGAUGAAGUAGCUACUUGCUUCUUCUUCUUCUUCUUCUUA
rnacentral:sRNA from 1 species